UAGCGUAGGGUCCGAGCGUUUAAUCGGGAAUUACUGGGCGUAAAGCGUGCGCAGGCGGUUUUGUAAAGCCAGAUGUGGAAAGCCCCGGGCUUUAACCUGGGAAUGGCAUUUGGGACUGCAAAGCUGGAGUACGGCAGAGGGAGGUGGAAAUUCCAGGUGUAGCAGUGAAAUGACGUAGAUAUCUGGAGGAACACCGAUGGCGAAGGCAGCCUCCGUGG
rnacentral:rRNA from 1 species